UCUUGGUCAUUUAGAGGAAGUAAAAGUCGUAACAAGGUCUCCGUAGGUGAACCUGCGGAGGGAUCAUUACACAAUAACAAGGCGGGCUGGACACCCCCAGCCGGGCACUGCUUCACGGCGUGCGCGGCUGGGCCGGCCCUGCUGAAUUAUUCACCCGUGUCUUUUGCGUACUUCUUGUUUCCUGGGUGGGCUCGCCCGCCAUCAGGACCAACCACAAACCUUUUGCAAUAGCAAUCAGCGUCAGUAACAACGUAAUUAAUUACAACUUUCAACAACGGAUCUCUUGGUUCUGGCAUCGAUGAAGAACGCAGCGAAAUGCGAUACGUAGUGUGAAUUGCAGAAUUCAGUGAAUCAUCGAAUCUUUGAACGCACAUUGCGCCCUUUGGUAUUCCAAAGGGCAUGCCUGUUCGAGCGUCAUUUGUACCCUCAAGCUUUGCUUGGUGUUGGGCGUCUUUUGUCUCCAGUUCGCUGGAGACUCGCCUUAAAGUCAUUGGCAGCCGGCCUACUGGUUUCGGAGCGCAGCACAAGUCGCGCUCUUUGCCAGCCAAGGUCAGCGUCCAGCAAGCCUUUUUUUCAACCUUUGACCUCGGAUCAGGUAGGGAUACCCGCUGAACUUAAGCAUAUCAAUAAGCGGAGGACAAGAAACCAACCGGGAUUGCCCUAGUAACGGCGAGUGAAGCGGCAACAGCUCAAAUUUGAAAUCUGGCUCUUUUAGAGUCCGAGUUGUAAUUUGCAGAGGGCGCUUUGGCUUUGGCAGCGGUCCAAGUUCCUUGGAACAGGACGUCACAGAGGGUGAGAAUCCCGUACGUGGUCGCUGGCUAUUGCCGUGUAAAGCCCCUUCGACGAGUCGAGUUGUUUGGGAAUGCAGCUCUAAAUGGGAGGUACAUUUCUUCUAAAGCUAAAUAUUGGCCAGAGACCGAUAGCGCACAAGUAGAGUGAUCGAAAGAUGAAAAGCACUUUGGAAAGAGAGUCAAACAGCACGUGAAAUUGUUGAAAGGGAAGCGCUUGCAGCCAGACUUGCUUGCAGUUGCUCAUCCGGGCUUUUGCCCGGUGCACUCUUCUGCAGGCAGGCCAGCAUCAGUUUGGGCGGUAGGAUAAAGGUCUCUGUCACGUACCUCUCUUCGGGGAGGCCUUAUAGGGGAGGCGACAUACUACCAGCCUGGACUGAGGUCCGCGCAUCUGCUAGGAUGCUGGCGUAAUGGCUGUAAGCGGCCCGUCUUGAACCACGGAC
rnacentral:rRNA from 1 species